GACGAACGCUGGCGGCGUGCUUAACACAUGCAAGUCGAACGGUAAGGCCCUGCUUUUGUGGGGUGCUCGAGUGGCGAACGGGUGAGUAACACGUGAGUAACCUGCCCUUGACUUUGGGAUAACUUCAGGAAACUGGGGCUAAUACCGGAUAUGAGCUCCUGCGGCCUGGUGGGGGUUGGAAAGUUUCGGCGGUUGGGGAUGGACACGCGGCUUAUCAGCUUGUUGGUGGGGUAGUGGCUUACCAAGGCUUUGACGGGUAGCCGGCCUGAGAGGGUGACCGGCCACAGUGGGACUGAGAUACGGCCCAGACUCCUACGGGAGGCAGCAGUGGGGAAUAUUGCACAAUGGGCGGAAGCCUGAUGCAGCAACGCCGCGUGCGGGAUGACGGCCUUCGGGUUGUAAACCGCUUUCGCCUGUGACGAAGCGUGAGUGACGGUAAUGGGUAAAGAAGCACCGGCUAACUACGUG
rnacentral:rRNA from 1 species